rnacentral:rRNA from 1 species
UACGUAGGGUGCGAGCGUUGUCCGGAAUUAUUGGGCGUAAAGAGCUCGUAGGCGGUUUGUUGCGUCGGCCGUGAAAACUUGGGGCUUAACCCCGAGCCUGCGGUCGAUACGGGCAGACUUGAGUUCGGCAGGGGAGACUGGAAUUCCUGGUGUAGCGGUGAAAUGCGCAGAUAUCAGGAGGAACACCGGUGGCGAAGGCGGGUCUCUGGGCCGAUACUGACGCUGAGGAGCGAAAGCGUGGGGAGCGAACAGG